CCCCAAAGCCCCAAGACAAGAGAUGUGCAGGAUCUUGGAGGAUGCAGGAUUCCUUUGCAUUACAAAAGUACCGUGCUUGGUGGCUCAUUUAAGACCAAGAUAUCUUCUGUGGGCCAGGAGUAAAACCCACACCUGCCUCCAAUACAGAGGACAAGUGGAAGGAGAAGGUAUAGCACAUUUGACCCAUACCCACCCUCACCUGGGCACCAUGGGCAUCGCCCACUGCACCAUUCCUGAGCUGAGAGCCCGUGGAGCAGCUGAGUUGUACAGUGGUGGAAUGCUACACUUACAGGCA